AAUGAACGCUGGCGGCAGGCCUAACACAUGCAAGUCGAACGGGUCCUUCGGGACUAGUGGCGGACGGGUGAGUAACGCGUGGGAACGUGCCCUUUGCUUCGGAAUAGCCCCGGGAAACUGGGAGUAAUACCGAAUGUGCCCGAGAGGGGAAAGAUUUAUCGGCAAAGGAUCGGCCCGCGUUGGAUUAGGUAGUUGGUGGGGUAAUGGCCUACCAAGCCGACGAUCCAUAGCUGGUUUGAGAGGAUGAUCAGCCACACUGGGACUGAGACACGGCCCAGACUCCUACGGGAGGCAGCAGUGGGGAAUCUUAGACAAUGGGGGAAACCCUGAUCUAGCCAUGCCGCGUGAUCGAUGAAGGCCUUAGGGUUGUAAAGAUCUUUCAGGUGGGAAGAUAAUGACUGUACCACCAGAAGAAGCCCCGGCUAACUCCGUGCCAGCCGCCGCCGUAACAC
rnacentral:rRNA from 1 species